AAUUCUUUCAUCUGUAAUAAAAUGAUCAGCGUUGCUGCUUUACCAGGAUAGCUGGAAACAGGAUAAGCUGUAGGGCCAUCCUGCCAUGACUUCCGCUCUGCCUUAAGAACUCUAAGAGUUAAGCUGUGUAAUAUGUCAGAAAAUUCCCCAACAGAUUUUCAUUUGGUCCUCAUAAUAACAUCAGCGACCCGCCAGCCAAUGAUCCGCCCAGUGUAAGUUUGGAGGUCACGUAAGUUUGGUCACGCUAUUGGAGAUUACAGCAGUAUCUCCAGACAAAUAAAAUAUACAGGAUUAUGUAGUACAUACAGUACAAAUGAAAAUACAUAUGUGCUCUCUCAUACUGAUUAUUAUUGUUGGAUAAAACCCUGAGGGACACAUCGGAUCUUUAUACAGCAUUGACUGAAUUCUCUGAAGAGACGGACAGAUUUCUAAUGUAAUCAAGAUCGUGGGUUUUUCACUGAUCCCACUGGCUAAAGCCCUUUGAGGAAGGAUAUGUGUGUUAGCAGCAAAUUCAGUAAAUGCACAAUGCUGUUUUACAUGGAAUCAAAUAUAUUCUGACAUGUGACACUCAGGUAAUAAAUGCAUUUAAAUCAUGUAGGUCUAGAUCUCUUCACAGAUCUCUGCGGCAGCAGACAAACAUGUAAGUAAAUGUGGAAACUUUUGAUUAGCUGUUUUUAUUUCUUCAGAAAGUUGGAAUGAUCGUAUAGCUGUUGGUAUUUGGAAGCUCUGCACACUGACUCACCUGCAGUAAUACAUAAACCAAAAUGUGCAACGAUAUUAUACAUCUUUAUGAAUACAGUGUCCCCCCAAAAAAGCCUCCUCUUCAUUUAUUUUAAAUGUACUAUGACACAGUGAGGACUUUGAGGCAGAUUCUUAGACAGAUAAAGAGAUGGACGUCAAAUCAAGCAAAGAUUUUACUGACAUACAAUUCAUUAUCAGUGCACUGAUCUGACAAAUCAAAUAUGUAAGAAGAUACAAAGAGGGGACUUUGUAAAUAAACUUGCUACAGGUCUAGAUAUGUCCAUGUUGCCACGACAGUGAGAAUUAAUGACAUCAUAAAUUCUUGAGCUGCUAUUUAACAAUAUGACAGAGCAGUUUUUCUAGAAGCAGAACAGCAGUCUCCUAGGCUGAAAAAUGACAAUGUGAAAAAAAAUUAAUUUCAGUGAGUCACUCCCAAAAGACUGCCAUGUUAUUUCCCUUUAUUUAACCAGGAAGUCCCACUGAGAUCAAAUCACGUUACAAGGGCUAGCCAAAGUACAAGCCAUACUACCUCAAAGUAUUAAAAGUGCAGCAAAUACAACACAAAAUACAAGAUCUACAAAUAGCCACAACAAAACAACACUACUGUCCUCUCAAGAAAAACAUCAUGCCACACAUGUCUGCUUUACCACGGUCCUCAUUACACCUGUACAUCCAACAGCACAUAUUUAGAGUAAAGAGUUUAAGGGCUUCCUGAAAAUUAUUCCAUGUCCAAGGUCUGUAUGAAAAUGCCUUUCCCCCCUGAUCUGUCAGAAAACUCGGCACAUUGAAAGCAGCUGUUUGGAGUAACACAGCUGGAAACUGUUGGACCUGCAACAGAGAAGGUUGCAAAGGUAAACUUUAUGUAGCAGCAACGCAGACACUUGGCAUGUGUCAAAAAUGUAGAGAUGCAUUAUACACCGAAUAAAGACUGAAUGUUUACCGUCAUAAUCAAGCACAGGCGCAAAGCUGGUUCCACAUGUUUUUUUUAAGAGAAGAAAAAAAACAAUAUGAAAACAUUCAACUUUACUUACAGUUUGACAUCAGUACCUAAUAUUCUAAUUUUUACCUGCCAUACAGGGCAGAGGGUUUUUUAAGUGUUUGAAGACUUUUAUUAUGGAAAAUUUUAUUUAGAACAAGGCAGUUAAAAGGCACUGAAGUGAGGUAUGUGAGACAGUUUGUACAGUACUGGGAAAUAUUUAUUUGCCAGACCUUCAGUACGCGGCGUCUGGUUCAUACCAAGUUAUUUUUCAUUUUGUCUUUUGAUAUGAAAUCAGAAAAUGACCCAUUGCUCUCUAAACAUCUCAUUUUUCAAACUAAGCCUUCCCAACAUCUUCUCACAGGCAACAGGGGUCUUCAAGGAAAGACGUCCAGACGCUUUUCUUUCCAAGCUGCAGAGACUACGAUGACCUGGAUGGCUGAGAACCUUCACAGACACAGGCAACAAUGUUCAUCAUCUGUUCAGGCUACAGCUUCAGUGUCCAGGUUUGAGAUUCUUUGAGAGAAAACUUAAAAAUGAGUCUAGCACAAGUCACUAACCCAUCCAUCAAUGGUGUUGCUACAUACUAAAUCAGCUGUGGUAGGACACCCCUGUCGCCAAGGAGACACAGUCUUGGUGACCUGGGCAAAUCCCACUUCAAUCGUUGGCCUGUAUAAUUCAGAACAUCUCUUCAAAAAUGAGAAAACUUCCCCUAGUGCAUGCACAUUCAUCUCUCUUUCUGUAUGAAAUUGAUUAAAGUUAUGCCUGAUUAAAGGUGUAGCCACAGGUUGAUGCCAGUACAGGCAGCUAUCUGCAAGACGUCUUGAUGCAUGCUCAAUCAUCAAUCAAACGCUAUGUCCAGAUGAACAGAAUCAACCUUUUAGGUCAAUCUGCAAGACUUAACUUCAGUGAAUAACUUCACUGCGCCGAUCUCCUGUUCUUGUUGGUUUAGGGUUGCAGGGGUGGGGGAUGUUUGGGGCAUCCUGGAAAGGUCAUGAGUCUUUCACUGGGCUAUCACAUAGAGAUAGACAAUCAGAAUCACCAAUUAACCAAACCGCACUAAAUGCAUGCCUUUGGACUGUGGGAGGAAGGUGGAGCAUCAGGAGAGAACCCACGCAGACACGGGAAGAACAUGCAAACUCCACACAGAAAGACCCCGGACAGAAGGUGGAGUCAAACUCAAGACCUUGCUGAGAGGCCUCAAUUUAUCACUGUGCCACCUUACUGCCCUUAUUUAUUUAUUUUUACUUAUUCUUCAAGAGUCCACAAACCACUAGCUGACUUAAGAAGGGCAGCAGUCUUUGCUCCAAACACCAAACACAUGACCCUAUUUUACAUGUAAUAGACACGUUUGCUACUAAUAAAGUGAAAAUUCUCAACCAACAGAGCCCCGCAUUUACAAAAAAAAUCCAAAAUAUAUAAAAUGUGUGAAAGAAAAAAAAUCGUAUAGUUAAAUCAAAGACUAAAACUCAAUGUGAUGUUUUUGAAAUGUUACACAUGGCACCUGAAAACAAUACCUGGUGUCAUUUUUUCUUGCUGUUUACUGCUGUUACAGUGCUGACAGUUAUCAUUAGCUUCAAAACAAAGAAUAGAUGAGACUGAGCGAUGCUGAUGGUGUCAGAGCUUGACAGGUUUUGUAGCCUGGACUGAAGGGCUGAUAUCAGUGACUGUGUUUCUUUCCAGCAGAGAAGGGGGGGGUAUUAGAAGGAGGCAGUGCAGGGUUGUAGAUGAGGCCAACCUUCGCCCAAGGCCUUGCUCAGGUGAGGACAUGUCAAGGAAAUCUUAAGCUGGAGCUAGAUUUCUUCACGGCAGAGCCACACAGGCCCCCAGGGGCCACUCUCACUUCAUUUUAACGUCAUUCACUUUCAUCCGUCCAGGCGAGUGAGAUGAUGGAGGCUGUUCCAGCCAACUGUCCGAACAGGAUUUGGGAGAAGUGCAAGUCAAUGAGGAAGAGGCGAUACUAGUGAGAGCGAUACACGGAGGGUUCAGGAAUGAUUUUUGCUGGUGCCGAUUGCUUUAAAUCAGAAGAGAAAAAAGCAUUGUAAUUGUAAUUCAUCUAUCAUAGGCACAGAAACAGCAGUCUCUAAAGCUCUUUCAUUAACCUCACUAAAUUCUUGGUUGUUUAAAUAUUGCCUGGGUGGCGGUGACUCAGAUGGCAAAGCGGGUCGUCUAUUAUCUGAUCCCUGGCACAGACACAUGCCGAAGGCGCCUCGCAUGGCAGCUCUGCCACCUUUGGUGUGUGAGUGUGUGUGAAUGAGAAACAAACUGCAAAAACAUUUACAGUAAUUACACAAACAAAAAUGUAAAUGUGAUUCUGAUUUUAGGGACAGUAUGUAUUUUGAUGCAUUUCCAAAGCCAUACUCUGUCCAUCUACUAUACUGUAGCAGGUUUUUGAGUUAUUAAUAAGUAGUAACUUAAUAGUCAAAUGUUUAAACAAUUAAAUUAUAAGUAGUUUUUAGUAAUCACUUGGAAGUUUUUCAAUUAGUGUUUAUUCUUGUCAGUUUAUUUCUGCAUAUUUUUUGAAUUCCAUACAGUAUAUAUUGCACAAUACUGGAAAAAACGACUUUUUAUCCUGUGUCACAUGUUUGUUUAUGAUAAUAAAAUGUUUCUCAGUUUGCCUUCAUCUAGCAAGGACCUCCAACUUGCACUGGGGAAUUUGUGGCCAAGACUAAAGCAGCUGAAAAGGGUGGAUGAGAGUUCAAGGAGGAGUUCUGUUAAUUUACUGGUCAGACUAUGUUCCUGUAGAGCGGUUACUCCUCCACAUUGAAAGGAGCCAGUUCAGGUGGUUUAGGCAUCUUACCAGAACGCCUCCUGGUCACCUGGUAGGUGAGGUGUUUUGGCAUAUCCAACAGGAAGAAAACCCCAGGCAUGACCUGGGACGUGCUGGACAGAUAAUGUCUCUUGGUUGCUUGGAAAUGACUCGCUGUGCUCUCAGAACAGCUGGAGAAGGUGGCUGCAGCAAAGGAGGUGCGGCCAUCUCUGCUUAUACUGCUGCCUCCAUGACCCGGGCCGUAUGGAUGGAUGGAUGAUGAAAUAUUGCCUGUGCUUUAUGAUAAAUGUUUUGUUGAUGAUUACACCCUGUGAGUGAGAACGUGUGCACUAAAGCCUAAACCAUUUAACGAAACCUGCUGCAGUGUCAGCAACUCACGCGGUGUUGGUUUAGUGAUAUGUGUGACUCACUUAAUGUUUUAUGAACUAAAACAAUUGCUUUUUACAAACUUCACCAUUUUUGGGGCCUAUACCAAAAACAACUGUAAAGGUGAAACUUAAUAGGGGAUAAAGAGGAAACAACCUAUGGGCUCCAUGGUGCCUCCAAGUGUUAUUAACAUCAGUAAAAACUUAAAAAACAGUAAAAACGUUUA